rnacentral:rRNA from 1 species
UCAGGUCUCCAAGGUGAACAGCCUCUGGCCAAUGAAACAAUGUGGGCAAGGGAAGUCGGCAAAACGGAUCCGUAACUUCGGGAAAAGGAUUGGCUCUGAGGACUGGGCUCGGGGGUCCCGGCCCCAAACCCGUCGGCUGUCGGCGGAUUGCUCGAGCUGCUCACGCGGCGAGAGCGGGUCGCCGCGUGCCGGCCGGGGGACGGACCGGGAAUCGCCCCUUCGGGGGCUUUCCCCGAGCAU